UUUAAUUGAAGAGUUUGAUCAUGGCUCAGAUUGAACGCUGGCGGCAGGCCUAACACAUGCAAGUCGAACGGUAACAGGGAGCAGCUUGCUGCUCUGCUGACGAGUGGCGG
rnacentral:rRNA from 1 species